GCGCGUGUAGCUCAGCUGGUUAGAGCAUGCGACUUAUAAUCGUAAGGUCCUUGGUUCGAAUCCAAGCACGCGCA
rnacentral:tRNA from 1 species